UACGUAGGGUGCGAGCGUUGUCCGGAAUUACUGGGCGUAAAGAGCUCGUAGGCGGUUUGUCGCGUCGGCUGUGAAAACUCGGGGCUCAACCCCGAGCCUGCAGUCGAUACGGGCAGACUAGAGUGCGGUAGGGGAGACUGGAAUUCCUGGUGUAGCGGUGAAAUGCGCAGAUAUCAGGAGGAACACCGAUGGCGAAGGCAGGUCUCUGGGCCACUACUGACGCUGAGAAGCGAAAGCAUGGGGAGCGAACAGG
rnacentral:rRNA from 1 species